CCGAGUUAGGGUACUCUUCGUGCCCGACCUCCAACCCUUUGUCUACCCGACCAGAUGUUGCUUCGGCAGGCCCGCCGCUCCGUAAGGGGUAGCCGCCGGGGGUCCUUACCGGCCCCGGGUCCGUGCCUGUCGAUGGCCCUUCUAUAAACUCUUGCUUAAAACGUGUCGUCUGAGUAAAACAAACAAAUAAAAUA
rnacentral:misc_RNA from 1 species